ACGCUCGACACCUACGGGAGACAGCAGUGGGGAAUAUUGCACAAUGGGGGAAACCCUGAUGCAGCGACGCCGCGUGGAGGAAGAAGGUCUUCGGAUUGUAAACUCCUGUCCCAGGGGACGAUAAUGACGGUACCCUGGGAGGAAGCACCGGCUAACUACGUGCCACAGCCGCGGUAAUCUGAGCGGGCUGGCAAGGC
rnacentral:rRNA from 1 species